CCUACGGGAGGCAGCAGUGGGGAAUAUUGGACAAUGGGCGAAAGCCUGAUCCAGCAAUGCCGCGUGAGUGAUGAAGGCCUUAGGGUUGUAAAGCUCUUUUACCAGGGAUGAUAAUGACAGUACCUGGAGAAUAAGCUCCGGCUAACUCCGUGCCAGCAGCCGCGGUAAUACGGAGGGAGCUAGCGUUAUUCGGAAUUACUGGGCGUAAAGCGUACGUAGGCGGUUAUUCAAGUCAGAGGUGAAAGCCCGGGGCUCAACCCCGGAACUGCCUUUGAAACUAGAUAACUAGAGUCUUGGAGAGGUUAGUGGAAUUCCGAGUGUAGAGGUGAAAUUCGUAGAUAUUCGGAAGAACACCAGUGGCGAAGGCGACUAACUGGACAAGUACUGACGCUGAGGUACGAAAGCGUGGGGAGCAAACAGGAUUAGAUACCCUGGUAGUCCACGCCGUAAACGAUGAUAACUAGCUGUCCGGGCACUUGGUGCCUGGGUGGCGCAGCUACGACAUUAAGUUAUCCGUCCGUCGGGUAGGUACGGUCGCGAGAAUUAAACUAACAAAGAAAGUUAGUACGGCGUGAGACGUGCCGACGGACGACGACGAGGGAGUAGG
rnacentral:rRNA from 1 species